rnacentral:lncRNA from 1 species
CAUCUCUCCUAGUUGGAUUUUUGAAAUAUACAGUACUCAGAGCCUGGAUAUGAACAUGAAAGAGGAGUGGAGAGGAGAAGAGCAGAGAGGAGAGAAAAAAAAAAUAAAAUAAAAAGAAAGCCAAUGACAACAAAACCCUCCUACUGCAAUCUGGAAUGAAGGCUGCAGAAUACACAAAUUUCACAGCUUUGAAGGAAGUGAAACAAUAUUAGGAGCAAGGUUUAGUGCUUCAGCUCCUAAGGGAAGAAGAGAGGACACACAGGUCAGUUUUAGAUUCCUCUGGCAGUCUGCUUAGGGACUACCCAACACUCUGGGCUUGAAAGAUUAUAGAACAUUGCCCACUCUCCUCUUCUGUCCUCUGGCUGUUUCCCCAGAAAAUCCUUGUUCUGGGAACUGCAAAAGAAGGCAAUUUUAUUUUAUUUAAUGGAUAAUUUCUCUAUUGUGUCAGCUCUCCACAGGGGAGAUACUUGUGGGCUCAGAAGUCAUUUAAGA